GGCCUGGUAGUGGGGGACAACGUUUCGAAUGGAACGCUAAUACCGCAUACGUCCUACGGGAGAAAGCAGGGGACCUUCGGGCCUUGCGCUAUCAGAUGAGCCUAGGUCGGAUUAGCUAGUUGGUGGGGUAAAGGCCUACCAAGGCGACGAUCCGUAACUGGUCUGAGAGGAUGAUCAGUCACACUGGAACUGAGACACGGUCCAGACUCCUACGGGAGGCAGCAGUGGGGAAUAUUGGACAAUGGGCGAAAGCCUGAUCCAGCCAUGCCGCGUGUGUGAAGAAGGUCUUCGGAUUGUAAAGCACUUUAAGUUGGGAGGAAGGGCAGUAAGUUAAUACCUUGCUGUUUUGACGUUACCAACAGAAUAAGCACCGGCUAACUUCGUGCCAGCAGCCGCGGUAAUACGAAGGGUGCAAGCGUUAAUCGGAAUUACUGGGCGUAAAGCGCGCGUAGGUGGUUUGGUAAGAUGGAUGUGAAAUCCCCGGGCUCAACCUGGGAACUGCAUCCAUAACUGCCUGACUAGAGUACGGUAGAGGGGUGGUGGAAUUUCCUGUGUAGCGGUGAAAUGCGUAGAUAUAGGAAGGAACACCAGUGGCGAAGGGCGACCACCUGGACUGAUACUGACACUGAGGUGCGAAAGC
rnacentral:rRNA from 1 species